ACUUUAAUUGAAGAGUUUGAUCAUGGCUCAGAUUGAACGCUGGCGGCAGGCCUAACACAUGCAAGUCGAGCGGAAACGACUUAACUGAACCUUCGGGG
rnacentral:rRNA from 1 species